ensembl:lncRNA
CGACAAUCAGCCAUCAAGGGACUCUGAUAUGAACCCGGGUCUUCCUGCCAGUCAGCGCCAGAUCGUUCCGCCGUCAGAGUGUGCUCGAGGAUUCCUACCUGCCGGCAGGCGGGCUCUGAGAGGCCAUUCUUCCCUGCAGAAUCAACCCGUCCUCGUGCGCCACUUUAUAUAUAUAUAUAUAUGUUUGAAUAAAUACCUUAUUUUUCCAGUCGGAAGAACCUCCCUGUGACUCCUGUGUGCUGCCACUAGGACACUCACUAAGGAGCCACCAGGCUUUCAGCAUCUGGCCAUAGGACACUCACUAAGGAGCCACCAGGCUUUCAGCAUCUGGCCGUAGGACACUCACUUAGGAGCCACCAGGCUUUCAGCAUCUGGCCAUAAGACACUCACUAAGGAGCCACCAGGCUUUCAGCAUCUGGCCAUAGGACACUUACUAAGGAGCCACCAGGCUUUCAGCAUCUGGCCGUAGGACACUCACUAAGGAGCCACCAGGCUUUCAUCAUCUGGCCGAAGGACACUCACUAAGGAGCCACCAGGCUUUCAGGAUCUGGCCGUAGGACACUCACUAAGGAGCCACCAGGGUUUCAGCAUCUGGCCGUAGGACACUCACUAAGGAGCCACCAGACGUCCGGCUGAAUCGUCUCACAGGGUGAAAAAGCAUGGAGGUCUCAUCACUCCACCACACUUUGUGGUCUUUACUGCGCCUCGAAUCCACUGAUGAAAGAACAAAGACUGUAUUUGAACUUGUUUACUCUACUGGAGACACAAACGUCACACAUCUCAAAUCCAACGUCUCUAUUAUCUGGUGACAUGAAGGUUCAACUCUCCCUCUCACCAUAGUGUGCUCUUCAUGAGCUCUUCAUCACCUCCUGCUGCUUCGGGGCAAUCUAGAGGUUAUUCUCACCCUGGUUCUCACCACGGAAGAAUUUCGCUUUCAAACUAAUAUUGUGAUUUUUCAAGCGUGAAUGCAAUGAGGAGAUAUUUAUAAAUGACUUUUUCUGAUUUCACGGUAGAACACAAGAACGUUAACGACAUACUU